UUUCUACUGGUAAGCAGGUUCUUUCCUUUGUCUCUGUAUUUGUGUUGCAUUUGAGUAUAUACUUACUUGAUGUAGCCUAGGGCUUUAGUACUCUGUUGUUACUACUGUGCUUUCUAUGAUGUUACAGUGUUGCAUGUAUUCAAACGAAGUGUAACACUUCUUAGGUUGUAACAAGAUGUUAUGUUGCAAAGCAUUUGUGUGGGUUCUUUGUUCUAAUUAUGUUAUUGGAACAAAAUAAUUGCUUUUCAGUUUGGAGUUUUCAGAAAACAUUUAACAUGUGGAUGGCCCACAGCUCUAUUUUCUUGAAGUAGCAGUGGUGUUCAGAAGUGAUCAAAUGCUGUGCCUCCUGCUGGGUGGUGAGCCAUUGGCUAGUGUUCAGGCUCAACACAGUCACAGCCUUGAAGAUAGGCAGAAGUUAGCAGAGUCCUGAAGAACUUACAGCUUUCAGACUAAGAAUGCAAGACCCUGUGAAUAAUUUGAAGCAAACAUUAAACGUGGUGGGGAUGACACACUCAGGAUACAUCUGUAUACCUGGAUAAGCUUGUGAUUACUGCUUGUAUAAGCAGAAAUCAUGAAACAUGUAUUUUCAACUAGCACAAGUGAUAUUAGCAGCAAUGCUAGCUCUAGCUUGCUGCAGAAACCAAAAUGUUUUCCUGAAUCCCAUGAAGAAUUCACUUCAUGAUCUUGCUUUUGCACAAAAUAAAGCCAAUGGUGUUGUACCUUCUGUUAUUCUUUAUUCAUAUGUUAUGUAUGAAUCAAUCACUUACUGAUUUUACUGUAUAGGUACAAUCACAGUACGUCUAAGUGAAACAAAAAUACAGUCUGAGCUUUAAUUUCAGCUGCAAGUGAGCAAACCAUCUUUGCACCACCAUUUUCACUUGCAGAUAGUAACAUCAUGGCUGUCUUGAAAGUGUUUGAAUUCCUCCAGAUGAUUCAUAGCUCAUAUGAAAUCCAAGUGAAAUCAGACCAUGCUCUGGCCUGUGUUCUGUCUCUGGGUCUAUUUUGUUAUUUGUUUGUUUUGCCUGUUUGCAGGUGGGGGAUGAUUCAAAGCUUCUAACAAAAAGGCUAGAUGAGCAACUCUCUAAUUUCAGGAUGAAUCAUCCUUUCCUCUAGCUGUAAAACAUCUUAAAGAUAGAUUCAUUUGUGGGGUUUUUGUUUGCAAAAUUGGGAAUAUACUACAUAAUUGUUGUUAAUCAGAGAUGGUUAAAUGGUGCAUUUACAAAAUUUAAGUGCUAAUACAUAAAAGGAAGGGUUUAUUUCUCUAAGAAUUUUAUCACACAAUUUUAACAAUGACUGUGACUUCAGUGAAUGGUUCAUUGGCCUUCUCUAGUAAAAUCACUCUAAGUCACAGCUUUUCUUUACCUGACAUAAGAAUACUAGUUUAGAUUUGUGAGAAUAAGGAGAAAGAUGGUUACUGUUCAUAUUUCUCUUAAAGAUAUGAAUAACCUUAAUAAAAAUCAAUGUCUAGCCACUUAUGCUGAUGGAUGUUAUAUUCAAAAUUU
ensembl:lncRNA